rnacentral:rRNA from 1 species
GAGUAACACGUGGGUAACCUGCCCAAGAGACUGGGAUAACACCUGGAAACAGAUGCUAAUACCGGAUAACAACACUAGACGCAUGUCUAGAGUUUGAAAGAUGGUUCUGCUAUCACUCUUGGAUGGACCUGCGGUGCAUUAGCUAGUUGGUAAGGUAACGGCUUACCAAGGCAAUGAUGCAUAGCCGAGUUGAGAGACUGAUCGGCCACAUUGGGACUGAGACACGGCCCAAACUCCUACGGGAGGCAGCAGUGGGGAAUAUUGCACAAUGGGGGAAACCCUGAUGCAGCAACGCCGCGUGAGUGAAGAAGUAUUUCGGUAUGUAAAGCUCUAUCAGCAGGGAAGAAGAGAGACGGUACCUGACUAAGAAGCCCCGGCUAACUACGUGCCAGCAGCCGCGGUAAUACGUAGGGGGCAAGCGUUAUCCGGAUUUACUGGGUGUAAAGGGAGCGUAGACGGUUGCAUAAGUCUGAAGUGAAAGGCCAAGGCUUAACCAUGGAACUGCUUUGGAAACUAUGAGGCUAGAGUGCUGGAGAGGUAAGCGGAAUUCCUAGUGUAGCGGUGAAAUGCGUAGAUAUUAGGAGGAACACCAGUGGCGAAGGCGGCUUACUGGACAGAAACUGACGUUGAGGCUCGAAAGCGUGGGGAGCAAACAGGAUUAGAUACCCUGGUAGUCCACGCGGUAAACGAUGAAAGCUAGGUGUUGGUGGGCAAAGCCCCUUCGGGUGCCGUCGCAGAUGCAAUAAGCAUUCCUCUUGGGGAGUACGUUUCGCAAGAAUGAAACUCAAAGGAAUUGACGGGGGACCCCGCCCAAGCGGUGGAGCAUGUGGUUUAAUUUGAAGCAACGCGAAGAACCUUACCAAGUCUUGACAUCCUCCUGAAUGAUGGGUAAAGCCAUCAGGCCUUCGGGACAGGAGAGACAGGUGGUGCAUGGUUGUCGUCAGCUCGUAUCGUGAGAUGUUGGGUUAAGUCCCGCAACGAGCGCAACCCUUAUCAUUAGUAGCCUGCAGGUAGAGCUGGGGACUCUAGUGAGACUGCCAGGGAGAACCUGGAGGAAGGUGGGGAUGACGUCAAAUCAUCAUGCCCCUUAUGAUUUGGGCUACACACGUGCUACAAUGGCGUAAACAGAGGGAGGCGAAAGUGAGAGCUGGAGCGAACCCCAAAAAUAACGUCUCAGUUCGGAUUGUAGUCUGCAACUCGACUACAUGAAGCUGGAAUCGCUAGUAAUCGCGAAUCAGAAUGUCGCGGUGAAUACGUUCACGGGUCUUGCACUCACCGCCCGUCA